GUGACAGCAGCCGCGGUAAUACGUAGGAGGCAAGCGUUAUCCGGAUUUAUUGGGCGUAAAGCGCACGCAGGCGGUUACGUAAGUCGGACGUGAAAGCUCCCGGCCCAACCGGGAGAGGUCGUUCGAUACUGCGUGACUUGAGGUUGGGAGAGGGGAGUGGAAUUCCCGGUGUAGUGGUGGAAUGCGUAGAUAUCGGGAGGAACACCAAUGGCGAAAGCGACUCCCUGGCCCACACCUGACGCUCAGGUGCGAAAGCGUGGGUAGCGAACGGGAUUAGAUACCCCAGUAGUCC
rnacentral:rRNA from 1 species